UACGAAGGGGGCUAGCGUUGCUCGGAAUCACUGGGCGUAAAGCGCACGUAGGCGGCUUGUCAAGUCAGGGGUGAAAUCCUGGAGCUCAACUCCAGAACUGCCUUUGAUACUGGCGAGCUUGAGUCCGGGAGAGGUGAGUGGAACUGCGAGUGUAGAGGUGAAAUUCGUAGAUAUUCGGAGGAACACCAGUGGCGAAGGCGGCUCACUGGUCCAUUACUGACGCUGAGGUGCGAAAGCGUGGGGAGCAAACAGG
rnacentral:rRNA from 1 species